ACGUCAAGUCCUCAUGGCCCUUAUGGUAGGGCUUCACACGUCAUACAAUGGUCGGUACAGAGGGCUGCCAACCCGCAAGGGGGAGCCAAUCCCUUAAAACCGAUCGUAGUCCGGAUUGAGGUCUGCAACUCGACCUCAUGAAGUCGGAAUCGCUAGUAAUCGCGGAUCAGCAUGUCGCGGUGAAUACGUUCCCGGGUCUU
rnacentral:rRNA from 1 species